GGCUGUUUAACAGAUGUUGUUUGCAGUUGAACUAAUGUUAGUCCACCCUGAUCCUUUCGUUUCAGAGUGAAUUAUUUAAUCAUCUGAUAUGCCAAUAGCUCUGAAUAAUUCUGGCUAGAAUGUAUCAGAAAACUGCAAUGCAGGAAGAGAAAACUACUUUGAAUUCACCAUGUGGGAGAAUGGCCACUAUCUCUUCAAAAGAGGAAAGGCUGUUAAAUAGUGGGCCCCAAUGCCAUUAUGAUACAAUCCAUCUCCCCAGGAAAUAAGAAGUUCUGACAAGAUCUUUUACUAUAACAUGUAAAAACUUACUUAAGA
rnacentral:lncRNA from 1 species